rnacentral:rRNA from 1 species
UACGAAGGGGGCUAGCGUUGUUCGGAAUUACUGGGCGUAAAGGGCGCGUAGGCGGCCUUCUAAGUCGAACGUGAAAUCCCUGGGCUCAACCCAGGAACUGCGUCCGAUACUGGAAGGCUUGAAUCCGGGAGAGGGAUGCGGAAUUCCAGGUGUAGCGGUGAAAUGCGUAGAUAUCUGGAGGAACACCGGUGGCGAAGGCGGCAUCCUGGACCGACACUGACGCUGAGGAGCGAAAGCCAGGGGAGCAAACGGG